AGAAGACGCUGGGGAGAACCGGUCGUAGGAUACGACCCGGUGGGAGACCCAUUUGUUCGAGACAGAUUGCGAGUGACUUUCGGAAGGUGGUGUGUGUUUUCACACUGACCAAGUGCCCAGCACAAGGAAUUUAAGACUUGCGUGAGUCCAUGAAUGACUCCCUGGCUCCUCCCCAGUCAAAUCAAGCUUCGGUCCCAGAGAAGUUAAGCACUCCAAGAACAAGCGAUUACUAUGGAUUGCCUUAUCAAUAAUGAUGGAUCAGUCAUAAUAUAAUUCAUGGGACUCUAGACUCGAAAACUGGAUCAGUCUCAUUUUUAUAGUAAGAGAUACGUUUUACCUUCUGUCAAAAAUUCAGGGUGGAUGGGUUUCCGCUGCAGACCUGGAGUUACAUUCAGACCUCGGAUCUUUGCGGUGGUGGGACCUGCUCCCGGGGGCUCACAACCAGCUGCUUUUUGAAAUCCCAAGGAUGCGACCUAGAAGACGAGCAUGCCUUUGGUGCUCCAAGGUUUUGCGGCCUACAGAUGGACUGAUUCUAAGACGGUGCCACCAACUGAAGCAUCACGGGAGAAAAUGGAACAUUGGGAAUUGCGGAUCAGCUGUUGGGGGCUCUGUACUCGACAAAUCACGCACUACCUCUCUCUUGCUGGCGGGGGAGCGUUCGUUGCUGAUUCUCUAGUUGGAGAACUCAGAAAAAAGAGCAGUGCAACAGACUUUUAACACCGGAAAUGAGCGAGUUGUUUUGUUAUGUCUCCCCUCUCACUAUGAAAGAGGACACCUCUUUUUCCCUUUAUUAGGAAGAGAGAGUGAGCCCGUGGUAUGUCAAAUUGUCAGGUGAACGAUGAGGUUUUGUUGUACCGCAGGUCAUGGUCUUUAUUGCGUGCUUUGCUAUUGCUCGCCUAGUGGGUGGAGGGUGCUGAUGCUUUUGUGUGAAAGUGGGUGGGGGUGGGGGUGUCGGAGUGUUCAUGCUUUGCUGCUGCUGUGUAUGGGAGAGGGCAGUAAGGGGGUUUUGGGGUUCUAACAUUUUAACUUUCACUUAUUCUUUGGGACACUCUUCUAUUUUCAUGGAUGUCUGCAAAGAACAAGAAUUUCAGAAUGUAUAUUGCAUAGAUUUCUGA